AAUACAUAAAGUUUAUAAAAAAAUUCAUAAAUUUGACUGUCAUACAAGUUCUCAUAAAAUUUGACAUCCAUUACAUUGUAUCAUGACAUCACAAUUAAAGUGCUUUUAGCAUGACCUCUAGUUUAUUCAUUUACAGAUCUUGAGAUCAUUUUGAGACAAAAUUCAGUUGAAUAGCAAAAGUGUAAAUACAUGUAUGAGGGGGAGGACAGGGGUAAGGGAGACAGGGAGGAAGGGUGUAGGAGAAAGGAGAAAGGGUGUAGGAGAAAGGAGAAAGGGGUAGGAGAAAGGAGAGGAAGGCUGGGAGAAAG
rnacentral:lncRNA from 1 species